rnacentral:lncRNA from 1 species
UGGUGAUUGAAGUGCUUAUCUCCCCUAAUCGGAGCGUGUAAAGGUAUUACUGCAGAGCCAAAGCGUCGCCACACCAGCUUUGAUAUGGAAAAUCACAUCUGUGAGCUCCCAAACAACAUUAUCUACAGAGAGCUGAAUACCACGUAAAACCUUUCCUGCAACCGCUCCAUCUGUUGUCUUGGAUUAGCUCCAUGUUUAUUGCCUUUUUUUUUUCCUCACAUGCUCAAAGGCAGACAGGGCAGGGAGGGCGAAAGAAAGGGAGGCGAAUAAAGAGCCGAACACACAUCUUGUUAAAAGUACUUGAACGCGUCAUGUGGCGCCGUGUGACCUGUUCGGUCAACGGUUGGCUCGCAGUCCAUCAUUGUAACCAUCAUCACCUUCAUCAUUGUUAUCAGCUACAAUGCCCACAGUCGGUUGAGAAGAGGACGUAUUGCUGA